GUAACAAACUCAAUUCCAACAGAAGCACUCUUAUAUAUAUUAAUUACUGAAUACAAGUUACAAGGUAGAAUACGCACAACAAAGUAAUAACACACUAAUUACGGAUAUCUUAACAUAGACGAAGGUAGCUCCAGCAACAUCGAACGACAUUCAGCGAGAUCUUUAGAGAUUUGAAUCCUUCAUUUCUUGUAUUGAAUCACCAACGAAAGCCUUGAGUACUUUUUGGUCCUCCAUUAGAGAGACCUCUCAAUGAAAGCACCAAUGUAACAAACUUAAUUCCAACAGAAGCACUCUUAUAUAUAUUAAUUACUAAAUACAAAUUACAAGGUAGAAUACGCACAACAAAGUAAUAACACACUAAUUACGGAUACCUUAACAUAGACGAAGGUAACUAGAAGGGGAUGAGAUACUAGACCAUAGAAAGGAGAUGAGAGGAUCAGAAAGCCAAAGCUUCACAUAAAUUCCAUGCCCCUUCUUCUAACUUCUAGUCCUUUUUAAUAGAGAUACUAAAUUGGGCCUGGAUCCCCAAAUAAAAGUAUCUAAUAGCCCAUAGGCCCUUACCAAGUCACGUC
rnacentral:lncRNA from 1 species